UACGGGGGGAGCAAGCGUUGUUCGGAUUUACUGGGCGUAAAGGGCGCGUAGGCGGUCAGCACAAGUCAGUUGUGAAAUCUCCGGGCUUAACUCGGAAAGGUCAACUGAUACUGUGCGACUAGAGUGCAGAAGGGGCAACUGGAAUUCUUGGUGUAGCGGUGAAAUGCGUAGAUAUCAAGAGGAACACCUGCGGCGAAGGCGGGUUGCUGGGCUGACACUGACGCUGAGGCGCGAAAGCCAGGGGAGCGAACGGG
rnacentral:rRNA from 1 species